CACUUUUAUCGAUUUCUUCGGAAUGAAGUUUUAGUGACUGAGUGGCGGACGGGUGAGUAACGCGUGGGUAACCUGCCUCACACAGGGGGGAUAACAGUUGGAAACGGCUGCUAAUACCGCAUAAGUGCACAGUACCGCAUGGUACGGUGUGAAAAACUCCGGUGGUGUGAGAUGGACCCGCGUCUGAUUAGCUAGUUGGCAGGGCAACGGCCUACCAAGGCGACGAUCAGUAGCCGACCUGAGAGGGUGACCGGCCACAUUGGGACUGAGACACGGCCCAAACUCCUACGGGAGGCAGCAGUGGGGAAUAUUGCACAAUGGGGGAAACCCUGAUGCAGCGACGCCGCGUGAGCGAAGAAGUAUUUCGGUAUGUAAAGCUCUAUCAGCAGGGAAGAAGAAAUGACGGUACCUGACUAAGAAGCACCGGCUAAAUACGUGCCAGCAGCCGCGGUAAUACGUAUGGUGCAAGCGUUAUCCGGAUUUACUGGGUGUAAAGGGAG
rnacentral:rRNA from 1 species